rnacentral:lncRNA from 1 species
CGUAGCUCUUUUCUCUUUCCUGGGAGGAACACGAGUACGUUCUAAGAGCAAGUUCUGUUUCCCCCUGUAACUUUGUUUACUUAAUGCAAAUAAAAAGUGUACAAUGCUGUUUUUUUUUUUUAAGGUCAGUUUGUCAUGAACAUCAGCAGAGUUUGCAGACUAAAAACAUUUACAGCACCUGAAACAUCUGUUCUCUCCUUUCAUUCCUGAAAUUCACACUAGACCUGGGGCCGGGUUUCCAUGGAGGCAGGAGUUGUUGUCAAAGUUAUUUCUACCACAAACAGACUAUGCCAUUCUCAUGCCUGUAGUGCUGGAGUCUCAUAGUUUUAAGCCUUAUCUUGAGCUUUUCUUCUCUUUUUUCUUUGAUCUUCUGCCAGGGAAUCUUAAAAAGGCGAAAUGAAUUCAGUGGUGUAGUGGUGUUGAUCCAUUUUAACUUUGGAGUUCUAAGCCAAAAUAAUAAGAAAAAAAGAGAAAGAGAGAGAGAAAGAAAGAAAGAAAAGAAAGAAAAAGAAAGACAGAGAGAAAGGAAGGAAGGAAGAGAAAGAUAGAAAAAAGAAAGAAAAAAGAAAAUCAGAGAGAAAGAAAGGGAGGGAGGAAAGAAGAAAGAAAGAAAAGAAAGAAAAAGAAAGACAGAGAGAAAGGAAGGAAGGAAGAAAAAGAUAGAAAAAAGAAAGGAAAAAGAAAGAGAGAGAAAAAGAAAGGGAGGGAGGAAAGAAGAAAGAAAAAAAAGAAAGAAAAAGAAAGAAAGAAAGAAAGAAAGAAAGAAAGAAAGAAAGAAAGAAAGAAAGAAAGAAAGAAAGAAAGAAAGAAAGAAAGAAAGAAAGAAAGAAAGAAAGAAAGAAAGCAACGAAUUCAUUAAUGCAGGUAAGCCUGCAUGUACGGAAGUAAGUAAGGAAGUAAGUAAGGAAGUAAGUAAGUAAGGAAGGACGGAAGGAAGGAAGGAAGGAAGAAAGAAAGAAG